CACGUAGGCACCAAGCGUUGUCCGGAUUUACUGGGCGUAAAGGGCGCGUAGGCGGCGCGGUAAGUCACUUGUGAAAUCUCCGAGCUUAACUCGGAAAGGUCAACUGGUACUGCGGGGCUAGAGUGCGGAAGGGGCAACUGGAAUUCUUGGUGUAGCGGUGAAAUGCGUAGAUAUCAGGAGGAACACCGGUGGCGAAGGCGGGUCUCUGGGCCGAUACUGACGCUGAGGAGCGAAAGCGUGGGGAGCGAACAGG
rnacentral:rRNA from 1 species